rnacentral:rRNA from 1 species
AUUGAACGCUGGCGGCAGGCCUAACACAUGCAAGUCGAGCGGAUGAGUGGAGCUUGCUCCAUGAUUCAGCGGCGGACGGGUGAGUAAUGCCUAGGAAUCUGCCUGGUAGUGGGGGACAACGUUUCGAAAGGAACGCUAAUACCGCAUACGUCCUACGGAGAAAGCAGGGGACCUUCGGGCCUUGCGCUAUCAGAUGAGCCUAGGUCGGAUUAGCUAGUAGGUGAGGUAAUGGCUCACCUAGGCGACGAUCCGUAACUGGUCUGAGAGGAUGAUCAGUCACACUGGAACUGAGACACGGUCCAGACUCCUACGGGAGGCAGCAGUGGGAAUAUUGGAC